ACCUUAUAGUUGCCAACGACAACUAUGCUGAGGCACGUCUCGCUGCUUAAUGCGGCGCGAUAGUCUCGAAUCAAGCCCUGGGGGUUAGCACCUCCAGGCGGGGUCCGGAGGCACCUGGCAACAGAAGCCUCCACU
rnacentral:tmRNA from 1 species